rnacentral:rRNA from 1 species
AUGGCGCCUGUGGUGAGCGCCGCACUGGGCGCGUUGGGUCCCCUGCUGGGGAAGCUCGCGGAUUUGCUCGCCAACGAGUGCGGCCGGCUCAAAGGGGUCCGCCGUGAGAUCCGGUCCCUCAAGGCUGAGCUUGCCGGCAUGCAUGGUGCGCUGACCAAGUACACCAAGCUAGAGAAUCCUGAUGAGCAGGUGAAGAUAUGGGUGUCGCUGGUCAGGGAGCUGUCCUACGAUACCGAGGAUUGUUUUGACAAGUUCAUCCACCAGCUCGGCGAUGGUGGGAGUCGUGACGGCGGCUUCAAGGAGUUCUUCCGCAAGACUGCUCGGCGUCUAAAGACGCUUGGAGCUCGGCGUGGGAUCGCCAACCAAAUCGAUGACCUGAAGCUUCGUAUCAAGGAGGUGAAGGAACUCAAGACUUGCUACAAGCUGGACGAUGUUGCUUCUAGCACCUCUGGCAAUGCAGCCGUGGAUCCCCGGCUGGCCGCUCUUUUUGCGGAGGAGGCACACCUUGUUGGCAUUGACGGUCCAAGAGAUGAUCUUGCCAAGUGGGUGCUGGAAGAAGAAAACAAUCAUCGCCGCAGGGUGUUGUCUAUUGUUGGGUUUGGUGGACUGGGAAAGACAACACUGGCGAAUGAAAUCUAUCGCAAGAUUCAAGGCCGUUUUGAUUGUCAUGCUUUUGUGUCGAUCUCGCAAAAACCAGAUACAAAGAAAAUCAUCAAGGAUGUGAUCUCCCAAGUGUCUGACAGCGAUGCAUUCAAGAAAGAUAUUGAGAUUUGGGACGAAAAGACAUCCAUUUCAAAGCUAAGGGAACUUCUACAAGAAAAAAGGUAUCUUAUUAUCAUUGAUGAUAUAUGGUCUAUAGUG